rnacentral:rRNA from 1 species
AGAUUGAACGCUGGCGGCAUGCCUUACACAUGCAAGUCGAACGGCAGCACGGGAGCAAUCCUGGUGGCGAGUGGCGAACGGGUGAGUAAUACAUCGGAACGUGCCCAAUCGUGGGGGGAUAACGCAGCGAAAGCUGUGCUAAUACCGCAUAAGAUCUACGGAUGAAAGCAGGGGAUCGCAAGACCUUGCGCGAAUGGAGCGGCCGAUGGCAGAUUAGGUAGUUGGUGAGGUAAAGGCUCACCAAGCCUUCGAUCUGUAGCUGGUCUGAGAGGACGACCAGCCACACUGGGACUGAGACACGGCCCAGACUCCUACGGGAGGCAGCAGUGGGGAAUUUUGGACAAUGGGCGAAAGCCUGAUCCAGCCAUGCCGCGUGCAGGAUGAAGGCCUUCGGUGUAACUGCUUUGUACGGAACGAAAGUCUCUUUCUAAUAAAGAGGAUCAGUGAACGGUACCGUAAGUAACUAAGACACCGGACUAA